UUACAGUGAUUUUACCCGCUCUGCACUAUUGUGAAUGUGUUUCCAUAGUGUAUGACCAGAUUAUCAGAGGUCUUUGGGACCCACUCUCGUACACACAUAGGCUUUGGGCCGUGUACUAGGGUGAUUAGCCUUUGGGGCAGCUCUGCGUACGUAUGACCAGAUUAUCAGAUUAUCAGCUAUCAGAUUAUCAGAUUUGAAUGGCUUUGCCUUGUACAUCGAGAUUACUCUGUACAUGAGUAAGGCUAUUCAUUGGGUACUCUUUUUGGUGUGAUUUUUCAGUAUUUAUUCUAUUAUCAGAUUUCAGAUUAUGGAAUUCAGUUAAUUCAGUUUUCAGAAUAAAGCUUUCAGCUUAUAGUAUUAAGGCAGCAAUAUUUCAUAAUUUUUCAUGGAUAUCAGAGUAUUUAUAGUCAUUAUGUUAUACAGUUGCCUUUCUAGAAUUAUGUCCAAGAAAUUAUGAUAUGAUCAUGUUUAGUUUUUA
rnacentral:lncRNA from 1 species